UGGGGAAUUUUGGACAAUGGGCGAAAGCCUGAUCCAGCAAUGCCGCGUGUGUGAAGAAGGCCUUCGGGUUGUAAAGCACUUUUGUCCGGAAAGAAAUCCUUGGCUCUAAUACAGUCGGGGGAUGACGGUACCGGAAGAGUAAGCACCGGCUAACUACGUGCCAGCAGCCGCGGUAAUACGUAGGGUGCAAGCGUUAAUCGGAAUUACUGGGCGUAAAGCGUGCGCAGGCGGGUUUGCUAAGACCGAUGUGAAAUCCCCGGGCUCAACCUGGGAACUGCAUUGGUGACUGGCAGGCUAGAGUAUGGCAGAGGGGGGUAGAAUUCCACGUGUAGCAGUGAAAUGCGUAGAGAUGUGGAGGAAUACCGAUGGCGAAGGCAGCCCCUGGGCCAAUACUGACGCUCAUGCACGAAAGCGUGGGGAGCAAACAGGAUUAGAUACCCUGGUAGUCCACGCCCUAAACGAUGUCAACUAGUUGUUGGGGAUUCAUUUCCUUAGUAACGUAGCUAACGCGUGAAGUUGA
rnacentral:rRNA from 1 species